UACGUAGGGUGCAAGCGUUAAUCGGAAUUACUGGGCGUAAAGCGUGCGCAGGCGGUUUUGUAAGUCUGUCGUGAAAUCCCCGGGCUCAACCUAGGAACUGCAUUUGUGACUGUAGAGCUGGAGUACGGCAGAGGGGGAUGGAAUUCCGCGUGUAGCAGUGAAAUGCGUAGAUAUGCGGAGGAACACCGAUGGCGAAGGCAAUCCCCUGGGCCUGUACUGACGCUCAUGCACGAAAGCGUGGGGAGCAAACAGG
rnacentral:rRNA from 1 species